rnacentral:rRNA from 1 species
CGAGUAGGGCUACACACGUGCUACAAUGGCGCAUACAGAGGGCGGCCAACUUGCGAAAGUGAGCGAUCCCAAAAAGUGCGUCGUAGUCCGGAUUGGAGUCUGCAACUCGACUCCAUGAAGUCGGAAUCGCUAGUAAUCGUGGAUCAGAAUGCCACGGUGAAUACGUUCCCGGGCCUUGUACACACCGCCCGUCACACCAUGGGAGUGGGCUGCAAAAGAAGUGGGUAGUUUAACCUUCGGGAGGACGCUCACCACUUUGUGGUUCAUGACUGGGGUGAAGUCGUAACAAGGUAGCGCUAGGGGAACCUGGCGCUGGAUCUACCUCCUUAUACGAUGAU